rnacentral:rRNA from 1 species
UACAGAGGUCUCAAGCGUUGUUCGGAUUCAUUGGGCGUAAAGGGUGCGUAGGUGGCGCUGUAAGUCGGGUGUGAAAUUUCGGAGCUUAACUCCGAAACUGCAUUCGAUACUGCGGUGCUUGAGGACUGGAGAGGAGACUGGAAUUUACGGUGUAGCAGUGAAAUGCGUAGAUAUCGUAAGGAAGACCAGUGGCGAAGGCGGGUCUCUGGACAGUUCCUGACACUGAGACACGAAGGCCAGGGGAGCAAACGGG